AAAUGUUGUUGAUGAAGUUUUUUUUAUUGUUUUAUACAAUAAACAAUGUAUAUUCACUUUUACUACCAACCAAUCUUUACCAUUCAGUGAUAACAAGCACUUUAUUUACAUUUAAUAUUUUUGAUGUAUUUCAAAGAGUAGUUAUUGUUGCAAACUGCAUUAGAAAUUUGAAUUGAUAUCAGUUUUGGGAAAAGGGAAAGGGGGAUGUGAAAAAAAAUGGGGGGGAGGGUUAAAUUUUUCUCAUUU
rnacentral:lncRNA from 1 species